rnacentral:rRNA from 1 species
UACGGAGGAUGCAAGCGUUAUCCGGAAUGAUUGGGCGUAAAGCGUCCGCAGGUGGCUAUGUAAGUCUGCUGUUAAAGAGUCUAGCUCAACUAGAUAAAAGCAGUGGAAACUACAUAGCUAGAGUACGGUCGGGGCAGAGGGAAUUCCUGGUGUAGCGGUGAAAUGCGUAGAGAUCAGGAAGAACACCAGUGGCGAAGGCGCUCUGCUAGGCCGUAACUGACACUGAGGGACGAAAGCUAGGGGAGCGAAUGGG